AUUGAACGCUGGCGGCAUGCCUUACACAUGCAAGUCGAACGGUAACGCGGGGCGAACCUGGCGACGAGUGGCGAACGGGUGAGUAAUGCAUCGGAACGUGCCCAGUAGUGGGGGAGUAGCCCGGCGAAAGCCGGAUUAAUACCGCAUACGACCUACGGGUGAAAGGGGGGGAGUCGCAAGACCUCUCGCUAUUGGAGCGGCCGAUGUCAGAUUAGGUAGUUGGUGGGGUAAAGGCUCACCAAGCCGACGAUCUGUAGCUGGUCUGAGAGGACGACCAGCCACACUGGGACUGAGACACGGCCCAGACUCCUACGUGAGGCAGCAGUGGGGAAUUUUGGACAAUGGGCGCAAGCCUGAUCCAGCCAUGCCGCGUGCGGGAAGAAGGCCUUCGGGUUGUAAACCGCUUUUGUCAGGGAAGAAAUCUUUUGAGUUAAUACCUCGAGAGGAUGACGGUACCUGAAGAAUAAGCACCGGCUAACUACGUG
rnacentral:rRNA from 1 species